rnacentral:rRNA from 1 species
AGCGUAGACGGUAUGGCAAGUCUGAUGUGAAAGGCAUGGGCUCAACCUGUGGACUGCAUUGGAAACUGUCAUACUUGAGUGCCGGAGGGGUAAGCGGAAUUUCUAGUGUAGCGGUGAAAUGCGUAGAUAUUAGGAGGAACACCAGUGGCGAAGGCGGCUUACUGGACGGUAACUGACACUGAGGCUCGAAAGCGUGGGAGGCAAACCA